CGCGCGCGCGCGCGAGCGCUGAGCGGUUGCUCAGUGUACCGGCGUGCGUGAGGCACUUCAGCGGAGCUGUAUCCGAUAUGAAGCUGCGCCACAACGCAGAAGGCGCUUCUGUCACCUCCCGUAAUUUACGCAACAAAUGAGCUCCAGUUCCGCCAUCGCCGAGAGACAGUCCCGCGCUCUCCAUUCCUGCACGCAGCGGCGUUCACGCGGGAAGCUGAGCUCGUGUCACGUCGACCAUGUGACCCACACGACACCAGUUGAGAUACGUAAAGUCUCGCCUGGGCUGAGGAUGAUCUUCCAGCUUUACAACAGCUUAUAAUUAGCAUAGCAGCAUACUCAUAUGCUUAUUAUAGAUAAUAUGUAACAAACAGGCUUACACAAAAGUGAUCAUUCACAUGAGUAAUUAUAUACACAUUUAAAAAUGAGCAUGCGAUAUUUUUAAUAUAGUUAAUGAUGUUUUCAAUGGCAUGGUGUUAAAUGUGCCACUGCUCUUUCAGCUCUAACUUGAAGAUCAGUCUUCUGAAAUCAUUUCGUCACAGGUUUUCAUAGAUGAUAAUGGAGAUGGACAAGCCAAAGAUAGGUAUAUUUGUGCAUAAAUUUUUCCAUACAAAGGAAAACACUUUGCAUCUCAAAUUGCAGUUAAGGAAGUAGCCUUUAUUUGUCACAUAUACAUUACUCCAAAGUCAAAUUCUUUCUUCACAUAUUCCAUCCUUGGAGGUUUGGGGUCAAAGCACAGGUUCAGCCAUGAUGCAGAACCCCUGAAGCAGAGGGAGGGUUGGGGGCCUUGCUCACCUUGAACCUCAACCUGCUAAUCAACAACCCAGAGCUUUAACCACUUGAGCCACCAGAGAUCAUAUGGACACACGUUUCUACUUGUGGUUUUGUCAUGUAUAACCAAAAAAAGUGUGACUAUUCAGAUGUCAUGACUGUGUUUCUCUGACAGCUUCCUGACAGAGGAGUGUGCUAGCAGACUCUGAGUACAUGGACUGCAGAUGUUGCACACAGCUAACAGAAAUGCACACUCUAGUGGCCUUAUUUUGUCAUUACAGUUUGAUAUAUUAAACGAGUUAGCACUUCUACGGCUGUAAGCAAUUGCUGGUGGUUUCUGCAGACCAGUGGCAAUUAUGCUUUGGUGAACUACAACCACCCUACAGUCCAUCACCUUGCUGCAGAAUAUUUCUAUGGUGCUGAGAGAUGGUGAGAUCGCUGAUCAGAUGCUCAACAAUUCUAGUCAUUUGAAAUAGCGUGCAGAUUACACGGCCAUCAGGAUCAAGCCAAUGGAGUAUGAGUAAUGAGUUCCAAAAUAUUAGCAAUAUAUUAAUUUGAGAAAUGGAGCUCUGGAACCUUUCUAUGCUUUUUUACAUAUUUGUACGUCUUGACAUAAAUCUCCACCUGGUUAAAAAUGUUAGAAAUCUUUUCACAGCCUUGCUUUCAAUUCCCAUGCAGCUUAAAAGUAGACAGAAACACAGUCGCUGCCAACCAUUUUCUGGGAACUACACCUGAGUUCAUUUUGUAUCACUACUAAAUACAGAUCAGCUGACAGAUAACUUCAGUACUGCAUUCUGUUUAAACCCCAAACAGGAGCACAAAUUAUAGAUUUUCUAUGUGACCAUCAACAAAUUGUAUACAUGUAUUGUAUAGUGUGUGUGUGUGUGUGUGUGUGUGCAUGUAAAUAGAAAUAUAUAAUUCCAAAUACUAGAUCCGAGUUAUCGAAUCUGAUUCGACCUGUGCUCAGCGGUUUGACAUACUACCACAGUAGAAAAUUAUUUGAGCUAGGCUGUGGGAAAAUAUCUCAGAAGGCCAAAAAUGGUAGGAAUUUUUAAAUAUAAAAAUAAUACAUCAAAAAUACCUAACUACACAAAAUUAAAUCAUGUACAUACAAACUCUGUAACUAUUGUAAAGUGAAAAUAUAUUGUAUAAAGACAAUAAAAUACAAUUUUGUUUAAUAUUAAGUCUACCACUAUAUUCAUAAGUAUGCCCGAUUACCAUACAGAACAAGCCUGAUCUCUCAUGCUUACAGACCCAAUGCAUGUAACACACAGUGCUAUUAAAAGUAUUAAACAUUUACCCAAUUGUCAAAAGAUCACAAGUGUGAAUCCCGACAGUGCCACUGCCAUCCAUGGUAAGGAGCAAAGAGAGAAAAAAAAUUGGCUGUGCUCUCCGGGUGUCACUAUAAACUCAUGUAUGUGCGUGGGUAGAUAGUACUUUCCUUCGAGUGUGUUCAGCUGCCCUGUGAUGUAAUGUAGCUCUGACAAAAAAAACAGAUCAAAUAUAAUACAUUAGAAGUCAAAACAUUCUGUGUUAAAUAUUCAUUAUCUAUAGAAUUAAUAUUAUAUAUCAGCAUUUAAAAUCAAUAAACUGAGAAUUUGGGGAAUGUCAGGUUUAAAUUUUCAUUGCUUGAAUUGACUUUCAUCAGGUAGCAAAAAUACCCUUCCAAUCAGAUUUCAAUCUCUUUGUUGUUCUUAUUGUUGUUUUUAUAUCUUCAAAUGAAUACAAAUGAGUUGAUAUGAGCACCAUAUGAGUAGCUAGAUAAAUAGAUUAUUAAUGAGACGUGUAAUACUCACUGUGUCCACAUGGUGGGGUGAUUAACUGAUUAGUAUUAAUUUAUUACACUCACAAUACAUUUACAAAUAUACUAAAACUUACUCUUUUUUUUUUUUAAAUGAAUGUUCUUACAGCUUUAAAAUUACAGAGAGGUAACUAAAUAAGUUAUAUGUUUUUUGAAAGACAUGCAAAACCCCUUAAGGCAUUAAUCCUCAAAUGAAAACAAAACUUUUGAAUUGACUGAAGGGAGAAUUUAAUGGUCACCCAUGUAAUUACAAUAUAUUAUAAUAUAACAUAUUAUCUGCCCUUAAGGCCAUGUUCCUCAGAGAAAGGGAACGGUUUAAUCUUCUCUUUACACUCACACUCAUUACACUCACUGUCCACUUGACAACAUGCACAUACAUGCAAUUCUCAUGUGACAGCUGUGCAAAUACAGGUCAAGAGUUUCAGUUAAUGUCCACAUAAACAUGAAAUGGGGAAGUCAUGAUCUCACUGAUUAGUUGAUUGAUUUCGAUAUUCAGCUGUCUGGAUUCAUUGAACCUGUACCCACUAUAACCUCUUGGCUGACAUAAGUGGGACCCAGUAUGGCUAUAUGUGGCCCUGCGAUGGACUGGUGAUCUGUCCAGGGUGUACCCCUGCCUUUCGCCCUAUGUGCGCUGGGAUAGGCUCCAGCAGACCCCCGUGACCCUAAUUAGGAAUAAGCGGGUAUAGACAAUGGAUGGAUGGAUGGAUGGAUGGUUUUAAAGAGUGGUUGUUUAAGUUACCGUAGACUUCCUUUGUUUGUUUGAAGACUUUGAACUCUCUUGUCCGUGAAAAUCCAUGAAGAUGGGCAAUUCCUUAAAAAAAAACAUUUGGAUAAUUGCUGGGAACCUUAACUGAAGCUCUUGACCUGUAUCUUAGCAUUGAUGCAUUGCACUGCUGUCACCUGAUUGACUGAUUGGAUAUCUGAAUGAAUGAGCAGGUAUAUGGGUGUUGCUAUUAAAGUGGCCACUGCGUGUCUAUAUCAUCUGAGUAACUAGGUGUCUGGAAAUUGGUGUCUGCAUUAAAGUCUUCUCUGUAAUACUAAUAUAGCUUAAUAUAUUCUCUUUAAUACUCAAUAAUCCUGAUGACGGCAUGUUCUUUUCCUGCUUCAAGUUAGUGAAAUGAUCACUUUAUUGUAGCAUGAAUACAUUUACAUUAAACUACAUUCAUUACAUUGUAAAGUGCAAAGCUCUUCCCUGGCUGUAGUAGUCAUUUAAAUGCUCAGUUUGAUCAGCUGACUGUGGAUGUGAUUUUCUUUUUUCUUCUAUAACAACCUCUCAACACAUUGUAUGCGAGAUAAACCAUAAUAAUAAAAUUUUAAGACUUACAGAAGAUCCUAUUAGGGUUUUUGCAAGCAGGUUAAAAUGGAAGCGUUAUCUGUACGAUAGAUAAAUAAAAACAACCCAGAAACACUUUUUAUGACUCUUUUCAUGACCAGUCAUCAUUCAUCAUGUGAAAAGGAAAAUAUUUAAAAGACGUUGAAAGAGCUUCAUUGUUGAGGCAAGGGAUAGCAAGAGCUCCAGUCACAAACAGUGCUCAGUUGGCUGCGUUUCGAUAGGAAUAGUAUUUUAGUGGCAUCUGCAUUUAGAUCUAGGAUGCCAAGACAUCAGUAAAAAGAAAUGCUGGAAAUUAUGAUUGUAAGCACAUUCAAUGACAGCAAUGUUUGAGCAACAAAAUGUCAGAAUGUCAGCAAGGGUCCAUGCACUUUGCCUUUCAGUUCAUUGUUGGAAAGCAGAUAAGCAAGUAAGGUGAAAAAAAGUUAUAUUGUCAGACAACUUGUCCUAUGCCACCUUCUCUAAAAUAAGUUGAGUGUAGACCGAAAGGUUUGGCCCUUGCUUGCAUGGCUUUAGGGCCAUUUAUCCUUUUAAAUUGCCAUCUCUCUGCAUCUAAAUAUAAUGUUUUCCUGAUCAUCUUUAACUCAUGAUCUUUUCCUGGUUUC